GAUGAACGCUAGCUACAGGCUUAACACAUGCAAGUCGAGGGGCAUCACAAGGUAGCAAUACUGAGGUGGCGACCGGCGCACGGGUGAGUAACACGUAUCCAACCUGCCGUUUACUCUUGGAUAGCCUUCUGAAAAGGAGAUUAAUACAAGAUAGUAUCAUGAGAUCACAUGUUCACAUGAUUAAAGAAUUUCGGUAAACGAUGGGGAUGCGUUCCAUUAGAUAGUAGGCGGGGUAACGGCCCACCUAGUCUACGAUGGAUAGGGGUUCUGAGAGGAAGGUCCCCCACACUGGUACUGAGACACGGACCAGACUCCUACGGGAGGCAGCAGUGAGGAAUAUUGGUCAAUGGACGCAAGUCUGAACCAGCCAAGUAGCGUGAAGGAUGAAGGUUCUAUGGAUUGUAAACUUCUUUUGUCGGGGAAUAAUGAUCGCCACGUGUGGUGAGAGGGAAUGUAUCCGACGAAUAAGCAUCGGCUAACUCCGUGCCAGCCGCCGCAGUAACAC
rnacentral:rRNA from 1 species